AUACGAACUGUGCGAACGUUAUUCGGAAUCACUGGGCUUACAGGGUGCGUAGGCGGCUUAGCAAGUCAGGUGUGAAAGCCCCCGGCUCAACCGGGGAACUGCGCUUGAAACUGCUGAGCUCGAGUCAGCUAGAGGUACACGGAACUUCCAGUGGAGCGGUGAAAUGUGUUGAUAUUGGAAGGGACACCGGAGGCGAAAGCGGUGUACUGGGGCUGGUCUGACGCUGAGGCACGAAAGCCAGGGGAGCGAACGGG
rnacentral:rRNA from 1 species